CAAAAUGAACAAUUACAAAUCAAUAAAGAUCCCCCAUUGAAGUCUUUUGAAAAAAGUGAGAGAAUGCCAAGUACCAAAAAGAUAAGGUUGACAAAGCUUAUGUACUUGGUGGGAGAAAAAUGGCGCUCUAAAUUUGAAAAGCUGGAUUGGAACUCAUCACGUUAUGCAGUUAGGUAAAUGCUUAGGGGAUGGAGACCGCAAAAGUACAUGUCCCAGGCAUUGGGAGAGCGAUUCGAGAAGUUGACUGCCAAAACCUAGGUCUAACGUACCUCUCAACUUUUGAUUCUCCUUGGAAAAGAAUGUUUCUACGACUUUAGAAACAACAAAAACUUGCACAAUUAAAUUGGAAACUCUAACCUCUUCUACAUUACGGUUACUAUUAACCAUGGUUCUAGGCUUGACAGCACUACAGAGUAACUUGGGUCACCAUGGUUUUCGGUAAAUCCUCGAUGCCAUAUCUUCUUCUAUUUCUACCGAAAUAUGGCUGUGAUAGAGGGUACGAAGUGGAAGGGAGAUUCUUAAAACGCGCAACAACGCGCCAUAUCUUAUUCGAUUUCCACCGAAAUAUGGCUGUGAUAGAGGGUACAAAAUGGGAGGGCGAUUCUUACAUCGCGGAGGGCAAUACUUUGGACAGUCAGCCAAUUAUGGAAAAAUAAGGUUUAUGGGAGAAUUCUCAUAUGGAGAUAGAGUGCCAUUUAUGGAAAAGUAAAGAGAAUUCUCAAAUGAAGAUAGAGUUGAGAAAAGGAGAGAGCUUAGUGGAGUAAGGAACGAGAGUAAGCUAGAGAGGAAAAGAAUUCUCUGCGGCUGCGGUAGGGAGUGAGAGAAGAUAAAGAGAGCGAGUAGGGAGCAAGAGUGAGAAGCUAGAAAGUGCGACAGUGAGAGCAAAAUCUUUGAACUCUCAUAUGAGAGAAAAAAAAAGAAGUUUGGGAGUGCUUAUAUACAUAGGUUUGGGUUGAGAUAAAGAUAAAUUUCAAAUAUAUUUAAUUGUAAGAUCAAAUAUGAAGCCAAAUUUCCUCUAUUCAUGUCAAAUUUGAAAGAAUUCACGUACCUUUAUGAUGCUAUCUAUUAAUUCG
rnacentral:lncRNA from 1 species